rnacentral:rRNA from 1 species
CAGUCGUACCGACGAGAAAUCAACCUUUCGAGUGCGAACCUGUGGACGUGCGUGAGUCUUUAAUCACCCUCAUGUUUUACGUAUUCGUGCUCUUGGGUGUACUUGCCCGUGUGGUGGGUUAACAUCAAUUUUGGUCGUCAUAAAAUGACUGGAGGAAUGUAGCUUUGGUCUCGUAUCGAAGUGUUAUAGACUCUGGUAGAUGUGACGAUUGGGGAUUGAGGAUUGCAACGGGAUACCCCUUCGGGGCUACCUGUCUGGUCUCUGAUCGUUGCUCUGGUGCCGAAAGCUUGCUUACGGUUAUCAAAGUCGAUGGUCAAUAGGUUAGAACGGGUUAAUUCGUUAAGGAUGUUGACGUAAUG